GCGCCCUUAGCUCAGCUGGAUAGAGCAACUGCCUUCUAAGCAGUAGGUCGUGGGUUCGAAUCCCGCAGGGCGCACCA
rnacentral:tRNA from 1 species